UGGGGAAUAUUGGACAAUGGGCGAAAGCCUGAUCCAGCCAUGCCGCGUGUGUGAAGAAGGCCCUCGGGUUGUAAAGCACUUUCAGUGGGGAAGAAAGCCUUGGGAUUAAUACUCCCGAGGAAGGACAUCACCCACAGAAGAAGCACCGGCUAACUCCGUGCCAGCAGCCGCGGUAAUACGGAGGGUGCGAGCGUUAAUCGGAAUUACUGGGCGUAAAGCGCGCGUAGGCGGUCUGAUCAGCCGGUUGUGAAAGCCCCGGGCUCAACCUGGGAACGGCAUCCGGAACUGUCAGGCUAGAGUGCAGGAGAGGAAGGUAGAAUUCCCGGUGUAGCGGUGAAAUGCGUAGAGAUCGGGAGGAAUACCAGUGGCGAAGGCGGCCUUCUGGACUGACACUGACGCUGAGGUGCGAAAGCGUGGGUAGCAAACA
rnacentral:rRNA from 1 species